rnacentral:rRNA from 1 species
ACCUGCGGAAGGAUCAUUACCGAGUGAGGGCCCUCUGGGUCCAACCUCCCACCCGUGUUUAUUUUACCUUGUUGCUUCGGCGGGCCCGCCUUAACUGGCCGCCGGGGGGCUUACGCCCCCGGGCCCGCGCCCGCCGAAGACACCCUCGAACUCUGUCUGAAGAUUGUAGUCUGAGUGAAAAUAUAAAUUAUUUAAAACUUUCAACAACGGAUCUCUUGGUUCCGGCAUCGAUGAAGAACGCAGCGAAAUGCGAUACGUAAUGUGAAUUGCAAAUUCAGUGAAUCAUCGAGUCUUUGAACGCACAUUGCGCCCCCUGGUAUUCCGGGGGGCAUGCCUGUCCGAGCGUCAUUUCUGCCCUCAAGCACGGCUUGUGUGUUGGGCCCCGUCCUCCGAUCCCGGGGGACGGGCCCGAAAGGCAGCGGCGGCACCGCGUCCGGUCCUCGAGCGUAUGGGGCUUUGUCACCCGCUCUGUAGGCCCGGCCGGCGCUUGCCGAUCAACCCAAAUUUUUAUCCAGGUGACCUCGGAUCAGGUAGGGAUACCCGCUGAACUUAAGCAUAUCAAUAAGCGGAGGAA